GUUAUAAUAAUUUAAAUGAAAAUAUUGGUUUUGUAAACCAAAUUUGAAAAUUUCUUAUAACU
rnacentral:tRNA from 1 species